UGGCAUCCAAGACUGACGCCGUACUGCGCUUUUUUUGCCUCGCUAAAGAAAAGAUCAUCGAGGGGCGAGGUAUACAUAUACGAUAAAACAUAAAAACUAUCGUAUUGAAUGAAUAAAAAAUUAAACCAACGAAGUCGAGGACCACGUGUGGAAUCGCACAGAAAGAACCGCGGACCCGCUAUCGCGACAUAUAGGAACGACAUUUAGAGACGACAUAGCGACUUACCUCUGGUGCUUGAUGGAAACGCACAAUAAAUCCUCCUUUCGUUGGCUUUGCCGACACGUCAGGGACAAUAGGUCCGCGGGAAGUACUGUUUUCCUGGGAAAACUCGAACCGAUACUCAGCCGAAUGACUGCGGCGACCAUUAACUACGGAAAAGAAGACCAACCAAUCGCCGUUAUGUUGCCCGCCAAACUCCGUUGCAAUAAUGAACGCCACCUCCCCUUCUGCGGCUAUUGAAUCGACUAACCGAUUUAAAUCGAAAACUAUUAAUUUUUUCUAAUGAAAUUUUAUCCUUUUAUAUUUUAUAUAAUAUAUUAAUCGUUUAUUAAAAUAUCAUGAUUUUAUUAAUACAUUGAUUAAUGCUGAAAUGGAAGAAAACAAUAUUAUUUUGAGAAUAUUGGUGAUCAACCUUAACAGCUAUUGGUUCAAUAUCAUCGAAUCUAUUUUGAUAACUCAUUUCAACCAAUCAUACUACACUUGGAAUGCAAUUGAAAUUUAAUUUGAAAAAAAUUUGUAUAAAAUGCGAAUUUCUAUACGUAUUAAAAAAUAAUGAAAUAAAAUCAAUUAUAAAAAUAGAAUUAUAAUUAUGAUAUAUUAUCAUUAAUAUGUUAUAUAAAAAGAAACACUUUAUAAUAAAAAUAAAUAAUAAUUUAAAUUCAGCUUAAUAUUUCAUGUGUAUAAUCAUUAUACUAAUAAAUAUAUUUGUCGCUUAUUGGAAAGUGUAAUUUAUAAAUCUCAUAUAUAUAUUCUUAUAGAAUAAAAAAAUAACAAAUUUUAGGUGUUUAAAGAUUAAUAGUGUGAAUAUCUUAUAUAAUAAUUAUUAAAAAAUGAUAAAAAAAUUGUCACUGAUAAUUAUUAAUUAUAAAUAAAAAAUAUAUUAUGUUGAUUUUUUUACAUAUAUGUAUAAAUUUAUUGUUAGAAUAAAAAUAUUAAUUAUAUAAAAAUUGAAUAAAAAUAAAUUAUAUUUUCUAUUAUACUAA